rnacentral:rRNA from 1 species
AAUCCAUAGGUUAAUGAGGCGAACCGGGGGAACUGAAACAUCUAAGUACCCCGAGGAAAAGAAAUCAACCGAGAUUCCCCCAGUAGCGGCGAGCGAACGGGGAGGAGCCCAGAGCCUGAAUCAGCAUGUGUGUUAGUGGAAGCGUCUGGAAAGGCGCGCGAUACAGGGUGACAGCCCCGUACACAAAAGCGCAUGUGCUGUGAGCUCGAUGAGUAGGGCGGGACACGUGGUAUCCUGUCUGAAUAUGGGGGGACCAUCCUCCAAGGCUAAAUACUCCUGACUGACCGAUAGUGAACCAGUACCGUGAGGGAAAGGCGAAAAGAACCCCGGCGAGGGGAGUGAAAAAGAACCUGAAACCGUGUACGUACAAGCAGUGGGAGCACCCUUUGGGUGUGACUGCGUACCUUUUGUAUAAUGGGUCAGCGACUUAUAUUCUGUAGCAAGGUUAACCGAAUAGGGGAGCCGGAGGGAAACCGAGUCUUAACCGGGCGUUAAGUUGCAGGGUAUAGACCCGAAACCCGGUGAUCUAGCCAUGG